rnacentral:rRNA from 1 species
GAUGAACGCUGGCGGUAUGCUUAACACAUGCAAGUCGAACGGACUCUUCGGAGUUAGUGGCGGACGGGUGUGUAACGCGUGAGAAUCUGGCUUUGGGUUCGGGACAACCACUGGAAACGGUGGCUAAUACCGGAUGUGCCGAGAGGUAAAAGAGAAAUUGCCUGAAGAUGAGCUCGCGUCUGAUUAGCUAGUUGGUGAGGUAAAGGCUCACCAAGGCAGCGAUCAGUAGCUGGUCUGAGAGGAUGACCAGCCACACUGGGACUGAGACACGGCCCAGACUACUACUGGAGGCAGCAGUGGGGAAUUAUCCGCAAUGGGCGAAAGACUGACGGAGCAAUACCGCGUGAGGGAAGAAGGCUCUUGGGUUGUAAACCUCUUUUCUUAGGGAAGAACAAAAUGACGGUACCUAAGGAAUCAGCAUCGGCUAACUCCGUG